GAUCACAUGCUCCCCGUGUGCCGCUCUGCGCGGCCGUGCGGGCGCGGGGCUCAUUGGGCGCCCCGAAGCAAUGGAUCCCGUGCAAAUGCGGGUGUGGACAGAAUCCCACGCAGCGGCGGCCGAUGGCUGAGGCGAGACAAGACACGUUCGUGGGGAACUUAGCUCAGAGUCCAAAUGGUAAAAAUGGCUCCUGGGUGUCAUCGUGCUAAUUAUUUUUCUUUCUACUCAAGUUUCCCUAGGUGAGAAUUGUUUCAGCGGUGUCUCGACCCCACACGGUCCAUGCGGUUUUUUUCAAAUGAGGAUGACUGAUGCCCAUGCAAUGUUUUCUUUCAUCCAUGAUAUCAACAGUGAAUUGUGAAAAACCUUCAGUUUCUGGUAAAAGAAGUGGCCCUGAAACAACCAAUGGGUGAGAGUAAACACAGAUUGGAACAAGCCCUGAUUUUAUCCUGGGACAGAGAAUCAUUCCAGAGAGAGGAUUUACAAGCACAAGAGUGGAAAGGAAUAAAGUUGUUUUCUGCUUGAA